rnacentral:rRNA from 1 species
UACGAGGGGGGCAAAUGUUGUUCGGAAUCACUGGGCGUAAAGGGAGCGUAGGCGGGUUCUUAAGUUAGGUGUUUAAUCCCGGGGCCCAACCCCGGACCGGCACUUAAAACUGGGAAUCUUGAAUAGUGGAGAGGUCAGUGGAAUUGGGGGUGUAGCGGUGGAAUGCGUAGAGAUCCCCAAGAACACCAGUUGCGAAGGCGGCUGACUGGACACAUAUUGACGCUGAGGCUCGAAAGCAUGGGGAG